rnacentral:lncRNA from 1 species
ACUCCUUUUGCUCCUUGGUUCCUAUUUCUGUGGUUGUCUGUGAUGAGCAAAGUUUCCUUGUGCAUACUGCUCACAAUAUGUGAGCUGGGUGAAGGGCAUGACCACUGUAUGAAGGGCCUGCAGCAUUGCGGCUACUUGCCAGGUUUUAAUGUGGUCAUUUCAGGGAUGAAGGAGGAGUACUAGGAAAGCCUGUAUCUAUGGAACAGUGUCGGUAGCAGCGGCAGCACCUAAGCCAGGAUGGGGAAUCUCUGGCCCUCCAGUUGUUUGAACGUUGGUUCUCAUCAGUACUAUCCAGCAUGUUCAAUUUUAAGAGAUAUUGGGGAUGGAAGUCCAAGAUGGUAGCCAAAAGUUCCCCACCUUUGAUCUAAGGGGUCAGCUGAACAGAUGUUUUCUAUAUGACCCUGUCUGGUGCACAUGUGUGUUCACUACCUUCCGGAAGAAGCUCACAUGUUUUAUUUGUUGUCUUGGAGGUUUGGUGGGGUAUCAAUGAUAGGUGCCAUUAGAAAGGUGGAAUAUCAAUAACAAGGGGCAUUUUGCGUUCUUCUGCAGAAGGCGGCCAGAGUGUAAGUGAGAGAUGAUUUAUUUUGCAGUGAUGCAGAUGUCAUUCUGCAUUUGUAUUAUAAUUGCAAAGGGUCUUUAAAAACUUGUGCUGCUCCUUAGGAGUGGGUGUCACUCUCUCUGUGUGUGCUGUGAUGUGAAAUGUGGCGACAGCCCUGGAAACUACCUUCUUCAUGAGUGUUCUCUUUUUCUGGGGCUAUUUCAGAUUGGCAUCGAUCCUCCACGAGGAGUGCUGAUGUAUGGCCCCCCUGGCUGUGGAAAGACCAUGCUGGCCAAGGCAGUGGCCCAUCACACCACUGCUGCCUUCAUCCGAGUGGUGGGGUCUGAAUUUGUGCAGAAGUACUUGGGAGAAGGCCCACGCAUGGUGCGAGACGUCUUCCGCUUGGCCAAGGAGAACGCCCCAGCCAUCAUCUUCAUUGAUGAGAUUGAUGCCAUUGCCACCAAGCGCUUUGAUGCCCAGACUGGGGGUGAGUAGGCACUGGGGUUAGGUGGAGGAGGACUUGG